rnacentral:rRNA from 1 species
UAGGGAAUCUUCCACAAUGGACGAAAGUCUGAUGGAGCAACGCCGCGUGAGUGAUGAAGGGUUUCGGCUCGUAAAACUCUGUUGUUGGAGAAGAACAGGUGUCAGAGUAACUGUUGACAUCUUGACGGUAUCCAACCAGAAAGCCACGGCUAACUACGUGCCAGCAGCCGCGGUAAUACGUAGGUGGCAAGCGUUGUCCGGAUUUAUUGGGCGUAAAGCGAGCGCAGGCGGUUUCUUAGGUCUGAUGUGAAAGCCUUCGGCUUAACCGGAGAAGUGCAUCGGAAACCAGGAGACUUGAGUGCAGAAGAGGACAGUGGAACUCCAUGUGUAGCGGUGAAAUGCGUAGAUAUAUGGAAGAACACCAGUGGCGAAGGCGGCUGUCUGGUCUGUAACUGACGCUGAGGCUCGAAAGCAUGGGUAGCGAACAGGAUUAGAUACCCUGGUAGUCCAUGCCGUAAACGAUGAGUGCUAAGUGUUGGAGGGUUUCCGCCCUUCAGUGCUGCAGCUAACGCAUUAAGCACUCCGCCUGGGGAGUACGACCGCAAGGUUGAAAC